AUUGAACGCUGGCGGCAGGCCUAACACAUGCAAGUCGAACGAGUGGCGGACGGGUGAGUAAUGCCUGGACAACUGCCUGAUGGAGGGGGAUAACUACUGUAAACGGUAGCUAAUACCGCAUACCAUCGGAUGUGCCCAGAUGGGAUUAGCUAGUAGGUGGGGUAAAGGCUCACCUAGGCGACGAUCCCGAGCUGGUCUGAGAGGAUGACUGGCCACACUGGAACUAGGACACGUUCCGGACUCCUACGGGUGGCCGCAGUGGGGAAUAUUGCACAAUGGGCGCAAGCCUGAUGCAGCAAUGCCGCGUGUAUGAGGAAGGCCUUCGGGUUUUAAAGUACUUUCAGCGGGGAGGCGUUACCCGCAGAGGAAGCACCGGCUAACUCCGUGCCAGCAGCCGCGGUAAUUC
rnacentral:rRNA from 1 species